rnacentral:lncRNA from 1 species
UUUAAUGUCAGAUUGACAACUGGAGAGAACCAUUCGUUGUAUUACGAUUAUUUCGUCGUGAUUAUUAAAGAAAUCAUCGUAAAUAAGAAGAUUCUACCUAGUAAAACCAUAUAAAAGGUGACACAAGUUACGCGCAUGUUUCUACAUAACCUACAGCUUCGGAAUGAUAAUAUAGUCCUGCCUAACUAUGCAAGAAUGAAACUACAAUGCUAGCAAGUCAAAAUGCCUAUCGUCCUACAGCCAUAGCCCUAGACAUACCUACACAGAAAACAUAAGUAAAUACAUAGGGCGGGAUACCUGCACCAUGAGACCUAAGGCAACAGGCGGAUAGUGGAAAGGAGAAGGUAUAGGAAGGAUUUUCUUACUGCCAAUCACACAGACUCAUGUGACCGUGGUUAGGCUAAAGGUGUCUUGGCCACAGUAAGAGGAUACUGAAAGUGACACAUAGAACAAUAUAAGCAUGCACAGUGUGAUAAAACAAAAGUGACAUGGACAUACACAGUGAAAUUAAAGUGAAAUAAUAAUAAAAUAAAAACAAGCAGAAUAUGACAACUGUACUUAUUAUAAUAUGAAAUAACAUUAGAAUGUUGAUGAUAA